rnacentral:lncRNA from 1 species
AAUAUAUAUAUAAGGCCUGUUUGGCCUAGCUUAUGAAAAAGUGAUUUUGAUUUAGAGAAGUGAUCUUGAUUAAACGCUGUAGAGCGUUUGGCUGAGUUUAGAUAAAAAUAUUUUUUUCGAAAUAAUUUUGAAAAACUUUUUGGUAAAUUUUUUUUGAUGUUCGCAUCAAUUAAUAUUUUUAUUAAAUUUUAUUUUAAAAUAAUUUAAAAUCUAAAGUUAAAUUAGAAUUAAAAUUAAAAUUUUUAAUUUCCAAAAUAGUAAAAAAUUUAAAAUUUGAUAUUUUAAUUUAAAAAAUAAUUUAAAAUUUUAAAAACUUAAAAUAUAAAAUAAUUAUAAAAUUUAAAAUUCAAAAAUAUAAAUUUAUAUUUAAAAAUAUAUAUAAUUAUUAAAUUUAAAAUAUAAAUUUUAAUAUUCCAAAAUAUAAAUUUAAAUUAAAAUUUCAAACUUUCAAUUUAAAAUUUAAAAUUUAAAAUUUAAAAUUUAAAAUCUAAAUUCUAAAUUUGAAAUUUAAAAAUUAAAAAUUUAAAAAUUUAAAAAUAUAAAUAUUAUAAAAUAUAAAAUAUAAAAUAUUUAUAUUUAAAAAUAUAUUUAAAUUUUAAAUUUCAAAGUUUAAAUUUAAAAUUUAAAAUUUAAAAUAGUUAUGAAAUUUAAAAUAAAAAAUAUAAAAUUA